rnacentral:rRNA from 1 species
UUUUAUGGAGAGUUUGAUCCUGGCUCAGGAUGAACGCUGGCGGCGUGCCUAAUACAUGCAAGUCGAGCGAACGGACGAGAAGCUUGCUUCUCUGAUGUUAGCGGCGGACGGGUGAGUAACACGUGGAUAACCUACCUAUAAGACUGGGAUAACUUCGGGAAACCGGAGCUAAUACCGGAUAAUAUUUUGAACCGCAUGGUUCAAAAGUGAAAGACGGUCUUGCUGUCACUUAUAGAUGGAUCCGCGCUGCAUUAGCUAGUUGGUAAGGUAACGGCUUACCAAGGCAACGAUGCAUAGCCGACCUGAGAGGGUGAUCGGCCACACUGGAACUGAGACACGGUCCAGACUCCUACGGGAGGCAGCAGUAGGGAAUCUUCCGCAAUGGGCGAAAGCCUGACGGAGCAACGCCGCGUGAGUGAUGAAGGUCUUCGGAUCGUAAAACUCUGUUAUUAGGGAAGAACAUAUGUGUAAGUAACUGUGCACAUCUUGACGGUACCUAAUCAGAAAGCCACGGCUAACUACGUGCCAGCAGCCGCGGUAAUACGUAGGUGGCAAGCGUUAUCCGGAAUUAUUGGGCGUAAAGCGCGCGUAGGCGGUUUUUUAAGUCUGAUGUGAAAGCCCACGGCUCAACCGUGGAGGGUCAUUGGAAACUGGAAAACUUGAGUGCAGAAGAGGAAAGUGGAAUUCCAUGUGUAGCGGUGAAAUGCGCAGAGAUAUGGAGGAACACCAGUGGCGAAGGCGACUUUCUGGUCUGUAACUGACGCUGAUGUGCGAAAGCGUGGGGAUCAAACAGGAUUAGAUACCCUGGUAGUCCACGCCGUAAACGAUGAGUGCUAAGUGUUAGGGGGUUUCCGCCCCUUAGUGCUGCAGCUAACGCAUUAAGCACUCCGCCUGGGGAGUACGACCGCAAGGUUGAAACUCAAAGGAAUUGACGGGGACCCGCACAAGCGGUGGAGCAUGUGGUUUAAUUCGAAGCAACGCGAAGAACCUUACCAAAUCUUGACAUCCUUUGACAACUCUAGAGAUAGAGCCUUCCCCUUCGGGGGACAAAGUGACAGGUGGUGCAUGGUUGUCGUCAGCUCGUGUCGUGAGAUGUUGGGUUAAGUCCCGCAACGAGCGCAACCCUUAAGCUUAGUUGCCAUCAUUAAGUUGGGCACUCUAAGU